AUUGAACGCUGGCGGCAUGCCUUACACAUGCAAGUCGAACGGCAGCACGGACUUCGGUCUGGUGGCGAGUGGCGAACGGGUGAGUAAUAUAUCGGAACAUACCUUGUAGUGGGGGAUAACUAUCCGAAAGGAUAGCUAAUACCGCAUACGAUCUAAGGAUGAAAGCGGGGGAUCUUCGGACCUCGUGCUAUAAGAGUGGCCGAUAUCUGAUUAGCUAGUUGGUGGGGUAAAGGCUAACCAAGGCGACGAUCAGUAGCUGGUCUGAGAGGACGAGCAGCCACACUGGAACUGAGACACGGUCCAGACUCCUACGGGAGGCAGCAGUGGGGAAUUUUGGACAAUGGGGGCAACCCUGAUCCAGCAAUGCCGCGUGAGUGAAGAAGGCCUUCGGGUUGUAAAGCUCUUUUGUCAGGGAAGAAACGGUUGUGGCUAAUAUCCAUGGCUAAUGACGGUACCUGAAGAAUAAGCACCGGCUAACUACGUGCCAGCCGCCGCCGUAAUAC
rnacentral:rRNA from 1 species